rfam:Daucus carota subsp. sativus cultivar DH1 chromosome 2, whole genome shotgun sequence.
GAGCAAGGGCGUGAAGUUAUAAUGACGAAAACUUGCAUUGAAGGUUGGCAAUAAUGAAAAGCGAUUCUCCGUGCCCAUCAAAGCUAAUUUCAUUUUGAUUGCGGCCUCGAACAAAUCGCUACAUU